rnacentral:tRNA from 1 species
CCCAAUAGUUCUGUGGUAAAGCGUCAGUCUUGUAAAUUGAAGGUUUGUAGUUCAAUCCUGCAUUAGG